rnacentral:rRNA from 1 species
AUUGAACGCUGGCGGCAGGCCUAACACAUGCAAGUCGAGCGGAGCGGCGUACGGGUGAGUAAUGCCUAGGAAUCUGCCUGGUAGUGGGGGAUUACGUCCGGACACGGGCGCUAAUACCGCAUACUAUCAGAUGAGCCUAGGUCGGGUUAGCUCGUUGGUGGGGUAAAGGGCUAACAAGGCGACGAUCCGUAACUGGUCUGAGAGGCUGAUCAGUCACACUGGAACUGAGACACGGUCCAGACUGCUACGGGAGGCGGCAUUGGGGAAUAUUGGAGAAUGGGCGAAAGCCUGAUCCAGCCAUGCCGCGUGUGUGAAGAAGGUCUUCGGAGUGUAAAGCACGUUAAGUUGGGAGGCGUUACCAACAGAAUAAGCACCGGCUAACUUCGUGCCAGCCGCCGCGGUAAUAC